AUUGAACGCUGGCGGCAUGCUUUACACAUGCAAGUCGAACGGUAACAGGCCGCAAGGUGCUGACGAGUGGCGAACGGGUGAGUAAUGCAUCGGAACGUGCCCAGUCGUGGGGGAUAACGCAGCGAAAGCUGCGCUAAUACCGCAUACGAUCUAUGGAUGAAAGCGGGGGACCGUAAGGCCUCGCGCGAUUGGAGCGGCCGAUGUCAGAUUAGGUAGUUGGUGGGGUAAAGGCUCACCAAGCCAACGAUCUGUAGCUGGUCUGAGAGGACGACCAGCCACACUGGGACUGAGACACGGCCCAGACUCCUACGGGAGGCAGCAGUGGGGAAUUUUGGACAAUGGGCGCAAGCCUGAUCCAGCAAUGCCGCGUGCAGGAAGAAGGCCUUCGGGUUGUAAACUGCUUUUGUACGGAACGAAACGGCUCUCUCUAAUACAGGGGGUUAAUGACGGUACCGUAAGAAUAAGCACCGGCUAACUUCGUGCCAGCCGCCGCCGUAAGAC
rnacentral:rRNA from 1 species